UACAGAGGGUGCGAGCGUUAAUCGGAAUUACUGGGCGUAAAGCGCGCGCAGGCGGUCUUUUAAGUCUGAUGUGAAAGCCCACGGCUCAACCGUGGAGGGUCAUUGGAAACUGGAGGACUUGAGUGCAGGAGAGAAGAGUGGAAUUCCACGUGUAGCGGUGAAAUGCGUAGAGAUGUGGAGGAACACCAGUGGCGAAGGCGACUCUUUGGCCUGUAACUGACACUGAGGCGCGAAAGCGUGGGGAGCAAACAGG
rnacentral:rRNA from 1 species